UGUGAAUGAUGACCACCUUUACCCUGACUCUGAUAUGGAGGCAAAAACUGAUUUAAUGAGCCUGACAC